AUUGAACGCUGGCGGCAUGCCUUACACAUGCAAGUCGAACGGCAGCACGGGUGCUUGCACCUGGUGGCGAGUGGCGAACGGGUGAGUAAUACAUCGGAACAUGUCCUGUAGUGGGGGAUAGCCCGGCGAAAGCCGGAUUAAUACCGCAUACGAUCUACGGAUGACAGCGGGGGACCUUCGGGCCUCGCGCUAUAGGGUUGGCCGAUGGCGGAUUAGCUAGUUGGUGGGGUAAAGGCCUACCAAGGCGACGAUCAGUAGCUGGUCUGAGAGGACGACCAGCCACACUGGGACUGAGACACGGCCCAGACUCCUACGGGAGGCAGCAGUGGGGAAUGUUGGACAAUGGGCGAAAGCCUGAUCCAGCAAUGCCGCGUGUGUGAAGAAGGCCUUCGGGUUGUAAAGCACUUUUGUCCGGAAAGAAAUCCUUGGCCCUAAUACGGUCGGGGGAUGACGGUACCGGAAGAAUAAGCACCGGCUAACUACGUG
rnacentral:rRNA from 1 species